rnacentral:rRNA from 1 species
GACGAACGCUGGCGGCGUGCUUAACACAUGCAAGUCGAACGGAAAGGCCCUGCUUUUGUGGGGUGCUCGAGUGGCGAACGGGUGAGUAACACGUGAGUAACCUGCCCUUGACUUUGGGAUAACUUCAGGAAACUGGGGCUAAUACCGGAUAGGAGCUCCUGCUGCAUGGUGGGGGUUGGAAAGGUUCGGCGGUUGGGGAUGGACUCGCGGCUUAUCAGCUUGUUGGUGGGGUAGUGGCUUACCAAGGCUUUGACGGGUAGCCGGCCUGAGAGGGUGACCGGCCACAUUGGGACUGAGAUACGGCCCAGAAUCAGCCGGGAGGCAGCAGUGGGGAAUAUUGCACGAUGGGCGGAAGCCUGAUGCAGCAACGCCGCGUGCGGGAUGACGGCCUUCGGGUUGUAAACCGCUUUCGCCUGUGACGAAGCGUGAGUGACGGUAAUGGGUAAAGAAGCACCGGCUAACUACGUG